rnacentral:rRNA from 1 species
UACGUAGGGUGCGAGCGUUGUCCGGAAUUAUUGGGCGUAAAGAGCUUGUAGGCGGUUUGUCGCGUCUGCUGUGAAAAUCCGGGGCUCAACCCCGGACUUGCAGUGGGUACGGGCAGACUAGAGUGUGGUAGGGGAGACUGGGAUUCCUGGUGUAGCGGUGAAAUGCGCAGAUAUCAGGAGGAACACCGAUGGCGAAGGCAGGUCUCUGGGCCACUACUGACGCUGAGAAGCGAAAGCAUGGGGAGCGAACAGG